UCCACCAAUAUUCCCUUUAAAACUACUUAGUGUCCAAUAUCCAGGACACUUGAUAUUUAGUAAAUAAAGCACCUUUCACUAUUUUAACGUUCAAUGAAAUUAGUCACACCUCGUGGCUCAUGACAUAGUUCCUAGUCCAGAUCUUGUGAGACCACUUCAAGUCCGCCACAUGCUGACACUUCUGUAUAAUGGUAGACAUCUCUUGAGCCUGUAACUCUUGUGCAUCUCCAUUUGUCUCUUGUAAUUGCUCUUUUG
rnacentral:lncRNA from 1 species